AUUGAACGCUGGCGGCAGGCCUAACACAUGCAAGUCGAGCGAGCGGCGGACGGGUGAGUAAUGUAUGGGGAUCUGCCUGAUUGAGGGGGAUAACUACUGGAAACGGUGGCUAAUACCGCUUACUAUCGGAUGAGCGCAUAUGGGAUUAGCUUGUAGGUGGGGUAAAGGCUCACCUAGGCGACGAUCGCUAGCUGGUCUGAGAGGAUGAUGAGCCACACGGGAACUGAGAAACGACCCAGACUCCUACGUGAGGCAGCAGUGGGGAAUAUUGCACAAGGGGCGCAAGCCUGAGGCAGCCAUUCCGCGUGUAUGAAGAAGGACUUAGGGUUGUAAAGUACUUUCAGCGGGGAGGCGUUACCCGCAGAAGAAGCACCGGCUAACUCCGUGCCAGCAGCCGCGGUAAUUC
rnacentral:rRNA from 1 species